rnacentral:rRNA from 1 species
UACGUAGGUGGCUAGCGUUGUCCGGAUUUACUGGGCGUAAAGAGCGCGCAGGCGGUCGUUCAAGUCGAGUGUGAAAGCCCCCGGCUCAACUGGGGAGGGUCACUCGAUACUGAUCGACUCGAAGGCAGGAGAGGGAAGUGGAAUUCCCGGUGUAGUGGUGAAAUGCGUAGAUAUCGGGAUGAACACCAGUGGCGAAGGCGACUUUCUGGCCUGUUCUUGACGCUGAGGCGCGAAAGCUAGGGUAGCAAACGGG